rnacentral:rRNA from 1 species
UACGUAGGGUGCAAGCGUUGCCCGGAAUUAUUGGGCGUAAAGAGCUCGUAGGCGGUCUGUCGCGUCGAAUGUGAAAACCCGGGGCUCAACCCCGGGCCUGCAUUCGAUACGGGCAGACUAGAGUUCGGUAGGGGAGUCUGGAAUUCCUGGUGUAGCGGUGAAAUGCGCAGAUAUCAGGAGGAACACCGGUGGCGAAGGCGGGACUCUGGGCCGAUACUGACGCUGAGGAGCGAAAGCGUGGGGAGCAAACAGG